CUGGCCAGAUGAGGGAUGUUAUUUUGGGCAGUGCAUCUGAACUUGGUUCAAGUGGCACCAGCCAAAUCCCUGCCUUACUGACCUCUCCCCUGGAGGAUCAGGAGCAGCGCUCGAGGCCACCCUGGGAGGGCUGAGAGGCAGGCUCUGGACUGGGGACACAGGGAUAGCUGAGCCCCAGCUGGGGGUGGAAGCUGAGCCAGAGACAGUCACAGAGGAACAAGAUCAAGAUGCGCUUUAACUGAGAAGCCCCCAAGGCAGAGGCUGAGAAUCAGAAGACAUUUCAGCAGACAUCUACAAAUCUGAAGGACAAAACAUGGUUCAAGCAUCUGGGCACAGGCACAAAGAUCCAGGAAAUAUGGUGCGAGGAAGAUGAGAGGAAGAUAGCGCGAGAGUUCCUGGCCGAGUUCAUGAGCACAUAUGUCAUGAUGGUAUUCGGCCUUGGUUCCGUGGCCCAUAUGCUUCUAAAUAAAACAUUUGGGAGCUACCUUGGUGUCAACUUGGGUUUCGGCUUCGGAGUCACCAUGGGAGUGCACGUGGCAGGCUGCAUCUCUGGAGCCCACAUGAACGCAGCUGUGAGCUUCACUAACUGUG
rnacentral:lncRNA from 1 species